GGGCUCGUAGCUUAGCUUGGAUAGAGCGUCUGGCUUCGGACCAGAAGGUCGGGGGUUCGAAUCCCUCCGAGCUCA
rnacentral:tRNA from 1 species